rnacentral:rRNA from 1 species
GACGAACGCUGGCGGCGUGCUUAACACAUGCAAGUCGAACGGAAAGGCCCUGCUUUUGUGGGGUGCUCGAGUGGCGAACGGGUGAGUAACACGUGAGUAACCUGCCCUGGACUUUGGGAUAACUUCAGGAAACUGGGGCUAAUACCGGAUAGGAGCUCCUGCUGCAUGGUGGGGGUUGGAAAGUUUCGGCGGUUGGGGCUGGACUCGCGGCUUAUCAGCUUGUUGGUGGGGUAGUGGCUUACCAAGGCUUUGACGGGUAGCCGGCCUGAGAGGGUGACCGGCGACAUUGGGACUGAGAGACGGCCCAGACUCCUACGGGAGGCAGCAGUGGGGAAUAUUGCACAAUGGGCGGAAGCCUGAUGCAGCAACGCCGCGUGCGGGAUGACGGCCUUCGGGUUGUAAACCGCUUUCGCCUGUGACGAAGCGUGAGUGACGGUAAUGGGUAAAGAAGCACCGGCUAACUACGUG